GAUGAACGCUGGCGGCGUGCCUAAUACAUGCAAGUCGAGCGAACGGACGAGAAGCUUGCUUCUCUGAUGUUAGCGGCGGACGGGUGAGUAACACGUGGAUAACCUACCUAUAAGACUGGGAUAACUUCGGGAAACCGUAGCUAAUACCGGAUAAUAUUUUGAACCGCAUGGUUCAAAAGUGAAAGACGGUCUUGCUGUCACUUAUAGAUGGAUCCGCGCUGCAUUAGCUAGUUGGUAAGGUAACGGCUUACCAAGGCAACGAUGCAUAGCCGACCUGAGAGGGUGAUCGGCCACACUGGAACUGAGACACGGUCCAGACUCCUACGGGAGGCAGCAGUAGGGAAUCUUCCGAAAAGGGCGAAAGCCUGACGGAGCAACGCCGCGUGAGUGAUGAAGGUCUUCGGAUCGUAAAACUCUGUUAUUAGGGAAGAACAUUUGUGUAAGUAACUGUGCACAUCUUGACGGUACCUAAUCAGAAAGCCACGGCUAACUACGUG
rnacentral:rRNA from 1 species